GGUCAAGCUACAAAGGGCACAGAGUGAAUGCCUUGGCACCAGGAGCCGAAGAAAGACGUGAUAAGCUGCGAAAAGCUGCGGGGAGCUGCAAAUAAGCUAUGAUCCGCAGAUAUCUGAAUGGAGCAAUCCGGCGGAUGUAACGGUCCGUCAUGGCGUACUGAAUUCAUAGGUACGUCAGGGGAACCGCCUGAACUGAAACAUCUAAGUAGGGCGAGGAAGAGAAAUCAACAGAGAUUCCGCAAGUAGUGGCGAGCGAACGCGGAAGAGGGCAAACCGGGAUCAGAAAUGAUGCCGGGGUUGAGGACUGCAUUUAGCAUUGAGGUAACCUAGAAGAACUGCAUGGGAAGGCAGGCCGAAGAGUGUGAGAGCCACGUAUUCGAAAGGUGAAGACAGCGAGCAGUAUCCAGAGUACCGCGGGACACGUGAAACCCCGUGGGAAGCCGGGGGGACCACCCUCCAACCCUAAAUACUCCCUGGUGACCGAUAGAGCAGAGUACUGUGAAGGAAAGGUGAAAAGGACCCCGGGAGGGGAGUGAAAGAGAACCUGAAACUCUGUGCCUACAAGCACAUAGAGCACGUCAAAGUGUGAUAUGGUACCUUUUGUAGAAUGGUCCGGCGAGCGUACGCAUGUAGCAAGGUUAAGCACUUCAGGUGUGGAGCCGAAGGGAAACCGAGUCUGAAUAGGGCGAGUGAGUUUCAUGCGUAGGGCCCGAAACCGGGUGACCUAUCCAUGUCCAGGUUGAAGUGGGAGUAAAAUCCCAUGGAG
rfam:Anaerotruncus sp. G3(2012) genomic scaffold acPFl-supercont1.6, whole genome shotgun sequence.